UACGUAGGGGGCAAGCGUUGUCCGGAAUCAUUGGGCGUAAAGAGCGCGUAGGCGGCCCAGUAAGUCCGCUCUGAAAGUCCAGGGGCUCAACCCCUGGAUGCGGGUGGAUACUGCUGGGCUAGAGUCCGGAAGAGGUGAGUGGAAUUCCUGGUGUAGCGGUGAAAUGCGCAGAUAUCAGGAGGAACACCGAUGGCGAAGGCAGGUCUCUGGGCCGAUACUGACGCUGAGGAGCGAAAGCGUGGGGAGCGAACAGG
rnacentral:rRNA from 1 species